rnacentral:tRNA from 1 species
ACUAUUUUGGCAGAAAAAUGCAAUAAAUUUAGAAUUUAUUUAUAUAAUUAUAGAUUAUAAAUAGUA